rnacentral:rRNA from 1 species
UACGUAGGGGGCAAGCGUUGUCCGGAAUUAUUGGGCGUAAAGAGCGCGUAGGCGGUCCGAUAAGUCGGCUGUGAAAGUCAAGGGCUCAACCCUUGAAAGCCGGCCGAUACUGUCGGACUAGAGUCCGGAAGAGGCGAGUGGAAUUCCCGGUGUAGCGGUGAAAUGCGCAGAUAUCAGGAGGAACACCUAUUGCGAAGGCAGCUCGCUGGGACGUAACUGACGCUGAGACGCGAAAGCGUGGGGAGCAAACAGG